rnacentral:misc_RNA from 1 species
GAAAUGCGAUAAGUAAUGUGAAUUGCAGAUUUUCAGUGAAUCAUCGAAUCUUUGAACGCACCUUGCGCUCCUUGGUAUUCCGAGGAGCAUGCCUGUUUGAGUGUCAUUAAAUCAUCAAACCCCGGGCGGUUUUCGCUUUGGGGGGUUUGGAAUUUGGGGGUUGUGCUGGCGUGAGUCGGCUCCCCUUAAACGCAUCAGCGGGAUUUUGAAACCCCAUCUGGCUUUGGCGUGAUAACCGUGUUGCGUCGUGGUUCAGGGGGUUUGUGGAGCUCCCGCUCACAAUGGUCCUUCGGACAAUGGCUUUUUGACGCAUCUGACCUCAAAUCAGGUAGGACUACCCGCUGAACUUAA